rnacentral:lncRNA from 1 species
UCUGGAUGGGCUGGGUGUGGUCGUGACAGUUUUCAUAAGAGGGCUGCAGGACUACACUUUCUUCCUGAGAGGGUUCCUAACUUCUCUGAAGUCAAGUUGAGCGUCCACAUCUAAAGCCCCAGCCCAGUUGAACUUCCAGCCCACAGCUAGCACCAACUUGCCAGCCAUGUGAGUGAAUCAUCGUGGAAAUGAUAUCUGCCAGCCCUGGCCAAAAUGCCCCAGCUGAUGCCACAUAAAGCAAAAAUUAGCAGUUGCCACCAAGCCCUGCCUAAAUUGCAAAAUCGUGAGUAAAAAAUGAUUGGUGUUGUUUUAAGCCUCCAAGUUUCAGGAUGAUUGGUUAUCCUAAUAAAAGAUGACCCAAACAGUACUGUACAAACAGAAAUAUUUGACCCUAUGUCUUAUCUUGUAUUUGAGACUAACAAUCCCAUCCAUUCUUCCAUAGGUUGAGAUGUUUCCCAAAAUGCCUCACAAAUAUUCUGGGAUGUCACCUUUUGCAAUGGAUCUGCAGGUUCCAUCGUGCCCUAGCUUUUUGCCUGAGGGGAGGCUCUGGCCAUGGGUCCCUUUUCAGGUCAGCAAGAGUGCCGUGCAGAGCAGGAGCCCCAUCCAAUGCUCUACAGGUAUACCAUCCAAUACUGUCCAAUAUUGUAGCCAUAUGUGACUAAUGAGCACUUGAAGUGUAGCUAGACUGAGAUGUGCUGGAAGCACACAAAACACAACUCAUUGUACAGGCUUAUACAGUACUAGUCUUCGAGAGAAUGUAAAAUAUCUCACUAAUAAUUUUAUAUUAAUUAUGUGUUGAAUUGAUAAAAUUUGGAUGUACUGGAUUAAAUAAAAUACCUUAUCAAAGUUAA